rnacentral:rRNA from 1 species
UACGUAGGGGGCAAGCGUUGUCCGGAAUCAUUGGGCGUAAAGAGCGUGUAGGCGGCUCGAUAAGUCCGCUGUAAAAGUCCAGGGCUCAACCCUGGGAUGCCGGUGGAAACUGUCGGGCUAGAGUCCGGGAGAGGCGAGUGGAAUUCCUGGUGUAGCGGUGAAAUGCGCAGAUAUCAGGAGGAACACCAAUGGCGAAGGCAGCUCGCUGGAACGGUACUGACGCUGAGACGCGAAAGCGUGGGGAGCAAACGGG